UGUAAAGACUAGGGGUGUCCACAAAUGUGGACUGAGAAAAAGGUUGUCCUUUUACCCUCAUACCUGAUCUGGAUCACGCCAGCGUAGGGAAGUCAUCUGAGCCGUAU
rnacentral:ncRNA from 2 species